rnacentral:rRNA from 1 species
AUUGAACGCUGGCGGCAGGCCUAACACAUGCAAGUCGAGCGGAUGAAGGGAGCUUGCUCCUGGAUUCAGCGGCGGACGGGUGAGUAAUGCCUAGGAAUCUGCCUGGUAGUGGGGGAUAACGUCCGGAAACGGGCGCUAAUACCGCAUACGUCCUGCGGGAGAAAGUGGGGGAUCUUCGGACCUCACGCUAUCAGAUGAGCCUAGGUCGGAUUGGCUAGUUGGUGGGGUAAAGGCCUACCAAGGCGACGAUCCGUAACUGGUCUGAGAGGAUGAUCAGUCACACUGGAACUGGGACACGGUCCAGACUCCUACGGGAGGCAGCAGGGGGGAAUAUUGGACAAUGGGCGAAAGCCUGAUCCAGCCAUGCCGCGUGUGUGAAGAAGGUCUUCGGAUUGUAAAGCACUUUAAGGUGGGAGGAAGGGCAGUAAGUUAAUACCUUGCUGUUUUGACGUUACCAACAGAAUAAGCACCGGCUAACUUCGU